ACAGAUAAUAAUGAGACAUAAAACAUAUGAUCGUCCAGCUCUUGUAGCUCAGUUGGUUAGAGCACCCGUUUAGUAAGCGGGAGGUCUUGAGUUCGACUCUCAACAAGAGCAUAUUUUAAUCCCCAAUACCUUCUUUUAAUUUACUUGAACAGAAAAGUAGAGAACAGCUGAAUACUUUUUAAUGAAUAGCAGCAAAUGCAUAAUGAUGAUGUAAGAACUGUGAACAUGCAGUGCCCAACAUAAUUUUUACGUAAAAAAGAAGGGGAGAAUGAGAAGAGCAAGUAAACAUCUUGUAUCUUUCAACACACUUUAAUAAAGAGGUUUUACUUUUCAUCAAACAUAUUUCUCUUUAUUGUAUCUUUUUUGUGAUCUGUACCUAUUAGAUAUGUACAAUAUACUCUAAUGAAGCACGUGCCUUACAACUUCAGAAAUAUCUGAAUCAAUCAAAACAAGAAAAAAUUACAAGAUAUGGAGGAAACUUCCAAUUACCCCCACCCCUUUCUCAGAAACAGACGAGAAAGGAAUGAAAAAAAAAUUCGUACACGUAACAAUGUAUCACCAAUUUAUUUCUUGAUUUUCCACUUUUUGUUGCUGCUGCUAACAACCAUGUCAUGUCCAAACAAUAUCUUUAAGAGACGUCUUCAAGCCUGAUCAAAGACCUUUUUGCUGUGUCCCGUGAUCUUUUUGUCACUUCCAUCACAUGAAAAGGUGUAAUACUAGUACAGGUCGCAGAGGAAACAAACCUGUAGCUCGCUUCAAGCCAGGGCAUGUUUCAAGGUGUUUGCAGCAUCGAUUGCUCCCUCUGCAGGUCCAGCUCCAAUCAAUAUGUGCACUUCAUUGAUAAACAGUAUUAUUUCAUCGCUUUGUUUAAUUUCCUCCAUUAGUUUCUUCAGUCUUUCCUCAGACUCUCCAACUUAGCAAACUGACGGAAAACAAUCAUCUCGUCUAAUCUGUUUAAGAACUCUGGCCUGAAGUACUAUUUCAACUCCUCAGUCACAAGCUAUUUUUAUGGUUGUAACUACCAUCCUUCUCGUCAUAAUCUAUAUCAAAACCUAUACAAUUGCCACCUUUCUCUAUCAGACUGUUUUCAGCAUUCGAUGUAAUGAUGAGGAGUGUAUUCUUGAAGUUGACAGUUCUGCCCUUGCUGUCUGUCAAUCCAUCGUCAAGACUUUGAAGCAUCACCUUAAAGACAUCAGGAUGAGCCUUCUCAAUUUCAUCAAAGAGCACAACAGUGUUAGGUCAAUGCCUCACAGCUUCAGUUAAUUGACCACCUUCAGUGUAACCAACAUACCUAGGGGUGAACCGAUGAGUUUAGAGAUGGUGCGUUUCUCCAUAAACUCACUCAUAUCAAGCGAAUCAUUGCUUCAUUAGAACCAAAGUAGUACGCUGCUAAAGACAUGGCUAGUUCUGACAUCCCAACACCAGUUGGACCAGGAAAGAUGAAACUGACAAUAGGUCGGUUGGGAUUUUGAGUCCAACAUGAGCACGUCUGAUAGCACGACUAAUGGCUUUUACAGCUUCAUCCUGGCCAAUGACUCAGGUAUGAAGUGUUUCUUCACUUUUAGGAGGCGAUCAGAUUCAUCACUUUGGACCUUCUCUACAGGAAUGCCAGUCCAGGAAGAGGCCAUGUGCUGAAUAUCUGCCUCUGUCACUAGAGGACCGCAUCUCCUUCCUCAGAUUCGGCCUUGCUCAUCUCUUUGUUUUUGUCUAUCAAGGAGGAAUUAAAAUUGAACAUCUGGAACAUCUCAAUGCUUUCAAUAAGAAAUUAACCAGUCAAGUGGAAUUUUAUGCACCGGAUCGAGAAUAAACCAGGCACCUUUUCAAAAUCUUGACCACGGACAGCUUCAUUUUCUCCUUUGUGAUCUGGCGAAGUUCUUUCUCCAGUUCUCUUGCUUCCUCAGGGAGCUAGACUGUGACAAGAGAACGGGUCAUGACUCCAUUAGGAAGAAAGGGCAGGACAGACUAAGACAAAGAGAGUACUCUAAUACCGUGCGUGAUGAAGUCGAACACAGGAACCAGUUUCAUCAAUCAAGUCGGGAAGAGAAUGUGGAAAA